UCAGGUAAGAGACUGAUCAUUAUGUGAUCUGUUCAGGUAAGAGACUGAUCAUUAUGUGAUCUGUUCAGGUAAGAGACUGGUCAUUAUGUGAUCUGUUCAGGGAAGAGACUGGUCAUUACGUGAUCUGUUCAGGGAAGAGACUGGUCAUUACGUGAUCUGUUCAGGGAAGAGACUGAUCAUUACGUGAUCUGUUCAGGGAAGAGACUGGUCAUUACGUGAUCUGUUCAGGUAAGAGACUGAUCAUUAUGUGAUCUGUUCAGGGAAGAGACUGGUCAUUAUGUGAUCUGUUCAGGGAAGAGACUGGUCAUUACGUGAUCUGUUCAGGGAAGAGACUGGUCAUUAUGUGAUCUGUUCAGGGAAGAGACUGGUCAUUAUGUGAUCUGUUCAGGGAAGAGACUGGUCAUUAUGUGAUCUGUUCAGGGAAGAGACUGGUCAUUAUGUGAUCUGUUCAGGUAAGAGUCUGGUCAUUAUGUGAUCUGUUCAGGUAAGAGUCUGGUCAUUAUGUGAUCUGUUCAGGGAAGAGACUGGUCAUUAUGUGAUCUGUUCAGGUAAGAGACUGGUCAUUACGUGAUCUGUUCAAGGAAGAGACUGGUCAUUAUGUGAUCUGUUCAGGGAAGAGACUUGUAUUAUCCAAGAUUCAUUUGUAGAUUAUUUUGCAUGUAUAACGUUUUAUCCUUUUUAAAGGAGAGAGAGGGAGAUGUCAACAGAGAUGGGGCUGACAGACUAACAUGCCGUCAACUCAAUAUCUUUUCAUUACUGACUUCUCACCAGUGAUGUCAUCACAACCAGUAACCUUUUCCACUCUUCCACUCUUGGUUCGGCUCAGCUUGACCCUGACCUCUGAAAUGAAGAAUAAAAAAAAAAACACACACAACCAAAUGUAUUAAUUAAAAAUAAACUAAUCUGUAAAGAGUUGGAAGG